UGGAAGCUGUGAUUGAGGGGAAUGAAGCCUGGUCCGAGAUCUCUUCACACGCAACAACAGUGAAGGAGAAGAUGGCCUCGAGCCAGACAACAUUCCCCUCAAGGAAAAAGCUUCCC
rnacentral:miRNA from 15 species